rnacentral:rRNA from 1 species
CCUACGGGAGGCAGCAGUGGGGAAUUUUGGACAAUGGGCGAAAGCCUGAUCCAGCAAUGCCGCGUGAGUGAAGAAGGCCUUCGGGUUGUAAAGCUCUUUUGUCAGGGAAGAAACGGUGAAAGCUAAUAUCUUUUGCUAAUGACGGUACCUGAAGAAUAAGCACCGGCUAACUACGUGCCAGCAGCCGCGGUAAUACGUAGGGUGCAAGCGUUAAUCGGAAUUACUGGGCGUAAAGCGUGCGCAGGCGGUUUUGUAAGUCUGAUGUGAAAUCCCCGGGCUCAACCUGGGAAUUGCAUUGGAGACUGCAAGGCUAGAAUCUGGCAGAGGGGGGUAGAAUUCCACGUGUAGCAGUGAAAUGCGUAGAUAUGUGGAGGAACACCGAUGGCGAAGGCAGCCCCCUGGGUCAAGAUUGACGCUCAUGCACGAAAGCGUGGGGAGCAAACAGGAUUAGAUACCCUGGUAGUCCACGCCCUAAACGAUGUCUACUAGUUGUCGGGUCUUAAUUGACUUGGUAACGCAGCUAACGCGUGAAGUAGACCGCCUGGGGAGUCGGUCGCAAGAUUAAAACUCAAAGGAUUGACGGCUGAGAGNGCGAGACGACGACGAGGGAGGAGG